rnacentral:rRNA from 1 species
GGCGAACGCUGGCGGCGUGCCUAAUACAUGCAAGUCGAGCGGAACUGGGGGAGCUUGCUCCUUCCAGUUUAGCGGCGGACGGGUGAGUAACACGUGGGCAACCUGCCCUGCAGAUCGGGAUAACUCCGGGAAACCGGUGCUAAUACCGAAUAGUUUGGCGCCUCUCCUGAGGCGCCACGGAAAGACGGUUUCGGCUGUCACUGCAGGAUGGGCCCGCGGCGCAUUAGCUAGUUGGUGGGGUAACGGCCCACCAAGGCGACGAUGCGUAGCCGACCUGAGAGGGUGGCCGGACACACUGGGACUGAGACACGGCCCAGACUCCUACGGGAGGCAGCAGUAGGGAAUCUUCCGCAAUGGACGCAAGUCUGACGGAGCAACGCCGCGUGAGUGACGAAGGUUUUCGGAUCGUAAAACUCUGUUGUGAGGGAAGAACACGUACCAACUAACUAUUGGUACCUUGACGGUACCUCACCAGAAAGCCACGGCUAACUACGUGCCAGCCGCCGCGGUAA